AGCUUUAUAUUCAUUAAUUAAUGAUUUUAAAUUGCAAAUUUAAAGGUGAAUUUCUUUCUAAAGCUU
rnacentral:tRNA from 1 species